rnacentral:sRNA from 1 species
AUUCUGCCCAUGCGGGGAAGGAUGAGAAGCUUCGAUUAAGGUUCGAUUCGAGCGUAGCGAGAAAGCGUUGCCGCAGGCAACGACCCGAAGGGCGAGGCGCAACGCGCCGAGUAAUCCUUCCCCACCACCA